GGGGUCUGGAUAAGAAUGUUUCAUGUCUGAAUUUUUUAAUGUUCAAGGUAAUUUUAGUAUAAUCCUUAUUUUUAUUUUUUUUUUAUUUUUCGUAUAUUUUUAUACCCUAUAAAUUAUCUAUCGUGUGUGUUUUUGUCCUUUAUUUGUUGUCUCUCCAUUAAUAUGAGAAUCCAUUGUGAAUUAGAUUUGGUUGCUUGUGCUUUAUUCUGUAAACUUCAAUACAAACCUCUACAAAAUGUAGACUAAAAUUGAAAAACUACAGGGAUUGAAAAUGUGAAACUCUACUUAUAUUUUACCAGAAGAGUAAAGAAAUCAUAACAUUUUUU
rnacentral:lncRNA from 1 species